GGUUGUAUCAGUCACUUCAAGGUUCAGGAUCCUUCUAGGGAAUCUUCUGAAGCAAAGCUGCCUGCAGGACACGUGACUUGAGAUCAGAUGUAUGCAGCCUGAUAGCCCUCCAUUGCAAAUAAAUGACAUAGGGUAGAGGCAAGCAGUCCUUAAGAAUGAUGGACAAUCAGAUCCAAGACUUAAAAAGUGGCCUAUGUUUCAGUGAGCGUGGUUGAAACGCAAUGAAAACAGCUCACGUGGUUUUGGCAGUAUUCAUCCUACCAUAGAUCCGAUUUCUAGGAUACGACCCAGAAUUUUGCAGGGGAAGUGUGAUGCUUUUACCCGCUGCACGGCCCAUGAAAUCAAGCGUUGCCAUCAACACACAUCUUGCCACACAAAGGGCGGACCAUGCAUCUCUUCCGGAAGUCUCACGAGUUUGUAGCAAAGGUCUUGCAUGCCACUGCAGCCAGCUGAUUCCCAUCAUGGCACAUGCACCAAGUGUUGUAGGACCAGGUUUGUGCGAUCACAGAACCCAGGUGCGGACGUCCUUCUCCAAUGGAAAUCAGGUAAGUCGCUAUGCGCGGUGUGUUUGAUUGUACAAUAAUGUAAAAUUUACAGGAGACAAAAAUAAAAUUUUGUCGCUACAUGACAUAGCGCAAAGAGCCUCCUCUAGCACUAGUCACAUUCGUCACAGAACCACGCUAGAUGACCCCUGUUCCCUCCGUACACACGCACGCCUGCGGCAUCUUAGAUCGCACCUAUCUGGUGUGCUGCAGCUCCUCAACUGAAUGGGCUUUG